rnacentral:rRNA from 1 species
CCUACGGGAGGCAGCAGUGAGGAAUAUUGGUCAAUGGGCGUGAGCCUGAACCAGCCAAGUCGCGUGAGGGAAGACGGUCCUAUGGAUUGUAAACCUCUUUUGUCGGGGAGUAAAAGUCUCCACGCGUGGCUUUCUGCGAGUACCCGAUGAAUAAGCAUCGGCUAACUCCGUGCCAGCAGCCGCGGUAAUACGGAGGAUGCGAGCGUUAUCCGGAUUUAUUGGGUUUAAAGGGUGCGUAGGCGGAUGUUAAAGUCAGCGGUAAAAUUGGGGGGCUCAACCUCUUAGUGCCGUUGAAACUGGAUGACUUGAGUGAGCGUGAGGUAGGCGGAAUGCGUGGUGUAGCGGUGAAAUGCAUAGAUAUCACGCAGAACUCCGAUUGCGAAGGCAGCAUACCGAGGCUUAACUGACGCUGAUGCACGAAAGUGUGGGUAUCGAACAGGAUUAGAUACCCGGGUAGUC